rnacentral:rRNA from 1 species
AGCAGCCGCGGUAAUUCCAGCUCCAAUAGCGUAUAUUAAAGUUGUUGCAGUUAAAAAGCUCGUAGUUGAAUUUCGGGAUUAGUACGUUGGUCGUGCCUUCGGUACGUACUGGUGUUACUGAUUCCUACCUUCUGACGAACCAUCAUGUCAUUAAUUUGGUGUGGCGGGGAAUCAGGACUGUUACUUUGAAAAAAUUAGAGUGUUUAAAGCAGGCUCGCGCUUGAAUACAUUAGCAUGGAAUAAUGAAAUAGGACGUUGACCCUAUUUUGUUGGUUUCUAGGAUUGACGUAAUGAUUAAUAGGGAUAGUUGGGGGCAUUAGUAUUCAAUUGCCAGAGGUGAAAUUCUUGGAUUUAUUGAAGACUAACUACUGCGAAAGCAUUUGCCAAGGAUGUUUUCAUUAAUCAAGAACGAAAGCUAGGGAUCGAAGACGAUCAGAUACCGUCGUAGUCUUAACCAUAAACUAUGCCGACUAGGGAUCGGAUGAUGUUAUUUUUAUGUACUCAUUCGGCGCCUUACGGG